rnacentral:rRNA from 1 species
UACGUAGGGUGCGAGCGUUGUCCGGAAUUAUUGGGCGUAAAGGGCGCGUAGGCGAUUUGAAAAGUCUUGUGUGAAAGCCCCGAGCUUAACUCGGGAAGUGCACAAGAAACUGUUGAAUUUGAGUUCCGGAGAGGAAGGCAGAAUUCCCGGUGUAGCGGUGAAAUGCGUAGAUAUCGGGAGGAAUACCAGUGGCGAAGGCGGCCUUCUGGACGGAUACUGACGCUGAGGCGCGAAAGCCAGGGGAGCAAACGGG